rnacentral:rRNA from 1 species
AGGUAAUAGAUACCCUGGUAGUCCUAGCUGUAAACGGUGCACGUUUGGUGUGGGAGGCAACCCCUUCCGUGCCGAAAGCUAAACGCGAUAAAAACGUGCCGCCUGGGUAGUACGGUCGCAAGACUAAACUCAAAGAAAUUGACGGGGACCCGGCACAAGCGGUGGAGUAUGUGGCUUAAUUCGAUGCAACGCGAAGAACCUUACCAGGGCUUGACAUGUAUUGUAACCCCGGUGAAAGCCGGGCAGCAUGGAAACAUGCGCUUUACACAGGUGCUGCAUGGCUGUCGUCAGCUCGUGUCGUGAGAUGUUGGGUUAAGUCCCGCAACGAGCGCAACCCUUAUGAUUUGUUGCCACCGGUUCAUUCCGAGCACUCAAAUCAGACUGCCCAGAUUAACUGGGAGGAAGGUGGGGAUGACGUCAAGUCCGUAUGGCCCUUACGUCCUGGGCUGCACACGUACUACAAUGUCCAGUACAAACUUGAACCCGAGGCCG